rnacentral:rRNA from 1 species
UACGAAGGGGGCUAGCGUUGCUCGGAAUCACUGGGCGUAAAGGGUGCGUAGGCGGGUCUUUAAGUCAGGGGUGAAAUCCUGGAGCUCAACUCCAGAACUGCCUUUGAUACUGAAGAUCUUGAGUUCGGGAGAGGUGAGUGGAACUGCGAGUGUAGAGGUGAAAUUCGUAGAUAUUCGCAAGAACACCAGUGGCGAAGGCGGCUCACUGGCCCGAUACUGACGCUGAGGCACGAAGGCCAGGGAG